AUCACUGAAAUACAUGUCAGAUUGUAUGCCUACAAAAUCCCUCCAGACUGGCAUACAAUCUGAAAUGUAUUUAAGAGAU
ensembl:miRNA